AUUGAACGCUGGCGGCAUGCUUUACACAUGCAAGUCGAACGGCAGCACAGGGAGCUUGCUCCCGGGUGGCGAGUGGCGCACGGGUGAGUAAUACAUCGGAACGUGUCCUGUUGUGGGGGAUAACUGCUCGAAAGGGUGGCUAAUACCGCAUGAGACCUGAGGGUGAAAGCGGGGGAUCGCAAGACCUCGCGCAAUUGGAGCGGCCGAUGCCCGAUUAGCUAGUUGGUGAGGUAAAGGCUCACCAAGGCGACGAUCGGUAGCUGGUCUGAGAGGACGACCAGCCACACUGGGACUGAGACACGGCCCAGACUCCUACGGGAGGCAGCAGUGGGGAAUUUUGGACAAAUGGGGGCGAACCCUGAUCCAGCCAUGCCGCGUGCAGGAUG
rnacentral:rRNA from 1 species